rnacentral:tRNA from 1 species
GCGGGCAUAACUCAGAUGGUAGAGUGUAAGCUUCCCAAGCUUAAAGUCGCGGGUUCGAUCCCCGUUGCCCGCUCCA